GGGACCGCUUUGGGAUUUUAAUCACUAUGGCUGGUGCGGGUGUUUUGGCGAACAGUCGUUGGGGUUGGCCCUCCAUCUUCUAUGUUAGCGGAGCGACCGCCAUUUGUGGGCACUCGCCUAUGCGUACUUUGGCGUAAAUUAUCCCCAGGAUCACCCCACCAUCACAGAUGCCGAGCGGAGCUAUAUUCUGGAUUCAUUGCCUAACACGUCAGAGGAUCGACAAUCGAUGAAAACGCCAUGGAAAGCGAUUUUGAAAUCUGGUCCUUUGUGGGCUCUCUUGUUGGUGCAUUGUGGGCAGAAUUGGGGAUACUACACAUUACUUACACAAAUUCCUUCGUACAUCUAUGCUGUUUUCGGAUUAAACAUUCAAGAGAGUGGUUUCCUGUCAGCACUACCUUACGUUUCCAGUUUCAUCAUGGCGUUCUUUUUGCGGUGAUCGGAGACAAAGUAGCAAAUAAAGAAAUGCUAUCGAAGACUACGGCACGAAAUGUUGGAACUCCUGUGGUUUAUGGGGAGGGGCCGCUGCAUUCUGUUUGCUAG
rnacentral:lncRNA from 1 species